CCUGAAUAGAUUGAAACGCAGGUCUGGGGUAUAGGAGAACGCAAGAGAUAAUCAGUGAAUCACGGAAUUGUUAACCAGGUUCGUUCUGCAUAAAUCCUGACAGAUAAACAAACAAAUUCAGCUUAAGUUUUUUCUAUUAUCUAGUGUCUGACUGAACUCGCUGAAUCGACGCUAAACUCACGAAUUUGGGCGAAUUUGCUCAAGUUAACACGAGCUUACUAAAAAGUUAUUUUGACCUGCGAGUUAAUUAGUGAUAUCUCUUUCAAGAGUAAAGAAUGGGUGACAAGAAGAAAAAGGCUCAGAUGUUUGUGAAACUAGUGUCUGCUGCCGGCACUGGAUUUUUCUAUGUAAAGAGGAAGCCAAGGCAGUUCACAGAAAAGCUUGAGUUUCGAAAAUUUGAUCCUAGGGUUAAUCGUCAUGUUCUGUUUACAGAGGCUAAGAUGAAGUGAUCUGGUACCUUUUAUGGCUUCAUUUCCCUCUUGUAACUGGAUCAUUCUUAUACUUCUCACUUCUCUGAAAGGGUUUUCUAAUCUGGUGUUAAUUUUGAAUCCUGCCAAUCUUUUCACUAUCUCUGUAUGUUAUAUUUUUAUAGUUUGUUUUACUUGUUUCUGCUUUGAGAUUUAUGCAUUUGGCUAUCUUAUUAGUAUCAUAUUAGUAUUCCGUUAAGAAUCUUGAGUCUAAGUU
rnacentral:sRNA from 1 species